CAGCUCCAGUGGUGCUGUGAGAAUGUUUCCAUAGCUGUCGACAGGAGCUGUAUGGAGGCCUGCUAGGGGAAAGAGCAGAAGUGGCACGUUUGCUAUGUUCCGAGCAGGAACCACUGAACCCCCCUGCUGGAAGUGCACCUAUGGGGAAAGGUACACGUGAGUGGCCUUGCCCCUGCCCCUCUCCUUGGGGCUGCAGCCCAGUUCCCAGGCACAGCUGUCGGCGUGGGACAGCUUGAGGAACCACCUCUGCAUGGGGGUUGAAGGGCAAAAUAUUUGGAGGAAAGUGAGGAAAACGCUGUGCCACAAAAAAAGGCCAUUUCAGCUACUGUACUGUGGUCAGCUAAAACAAGUUUUUCCUGAUGUAAAUAAAAUCAACCUGGAAGAAAUGAGUUGGUACCCAAACCACUGGGAACAGACCUUCACCUACAGAAUCUGACGACUCUGUAAGCUGGUCAACUGCAAACACACGAGGGAGUAAGGGACACUGAUUCAACGGGAGCUUUUAAAAUGGAUGUUUUACCUGUUAGAAGAGGGAAGUAAAUCAAAGAACCAUCCAGGUUGUGUCCUGUACUGGAUGAUGGGUGUCAAUAUCAAUAGCAGCUUUGUGCUUGUUUCUAGUAUAGUGGACUUGAGUACCAUUGAACCUAGUGCCAAAAUUAAUUUCCUGUUCAUAUGGUCAUAAGCCUAUAGAAAUGUAAAUCAGAUAAUGUUUUGAUGAUCAGCUGAUCAGAGCUUGAUUUAUCUGUGAAUAAAUGCUCUUCACUGCACCUUUUGUACUCACUACACUAGUUUAAUUGUAUAAAAAUACAAUUCUUCAUUGGAUUAACAAGUCUAUUUAUAGUGGUUUAAAACCUGGGAAAGCAUAAUUCCCAUGUGUUUCCUGUGCUUUAUUUACAAAUAUAUGUGUCUGAAAGAAUGAACAGCAUGUGUCCCCUUAACAAGCAAUCAUAGCAAGAUUAGCAGCUGCACAGUUAAUUUUUCAGUGAUUAUGGAUUCAUUCUCAUCAAAGCAAGCAAGUUUUGACAAAGGAUGACUUCCAAAUAUCAGUUUAAUUUCCUUCUUUUUCUUCCCAUAGGAAUAUGCAAAUAAAACCAAGCCAAAAACCCUUUUCAGUAAAAAACAAAAAACAAAAACAAAAAACAAAAACAAAAAACAAAAACCCACUGCAAAACUACAACUACAAAAGCUGGCAAUUAAGCACAGUGCCAACCAUUAAUUGAAGGUAGUAUUAUAAGCUUAAAACUCAGUUUUGCGGAGUAUUUAUUCUAAGCAGUUUUCCAGGGUUCUGUCUGUGGUAAAAUUACCCAAUCUGAGAUGUGUGAACUCUGCCCUGCUGCAGCAGUGCAGGCCUGGCUGGGCACCCCGGACACUGUCAGAAGGGGUUGUGCAGUUUCUGGACAAACCUAAACUCAAAGGUGGAAACCAUUUCAAAUUAGAUGGGAUCACAGAAAAAAAAAAUCCAAACUGAGGAGAAGCAGCAGCCUCAAGUCUUUUUUUUCCCUACCACCACCACUGCUUUGAAAACGUAAGUACCAACAAUUUCAGGAGACCCAGCACCAGCAAUAGACAAUAAGCAUCCUGCUUAUUACAGAUGUUUCAGUGCUAUCAGUUUGAUUUAUUCCAAGGAGGACUAGAAGAAGACACAUCAAAAAGAGCAAGAUGUAUACCCUGGCACUCCCAGCACCGCUGACCUCACUUCAGCCAUCUCAGAGCUAUUUGCAACAACGCUUCAAGUGUGUUCCUCAGAAGAUAAGCACUUGAGCCAGGUUGAGUGAAGAUGCACAUUGUAUAAAAUCACUAAUUAUGCUUUCCUGAAAGCAUGGCUGCAUAGCCCUGGUUUUGGAGACAAAGAACUCCCAGAUAAGGGGUACCUAUAAAACAAGAUGCUAUGUUUCCUGUCGCUGUUUGCAAAGCAAAAUAAUUUGAAAAACCAAGAACUCUUUUGGAAACUAAAAAUGGGAGAGUUUUCUGUAAGGAAGAGCACAUUCUUCUUACUAAGGAGUCCUACAUAAAUGCUGUAUUUUAAACGUUAGCUCUAAGCUGAAUCUAGAGAAGAAAACUUUGGGCAAGGGCAGAAUAUCUGACAUGGGGAGCCUACCAGUGCUAUGUGCAAAUUGCUACUGCCUGUUUGCUCCUGUACUAGAACUGACUUGUACAAUGUAGGCCUGGACACACAGUCAAUCACAGUGUGAUAAAACUCAGAAACACACAGGGUAUUUAAUGAAGUUUAACAAAGCCCGAAUGAAUGAUACCAAGCUAACCUAGUAUUUCUACCACCGUCAUAAAAGAAAUGCAGAAGGAAGCAGAGAGAAAUUAACUGAAAGGAAUUUAACUGAAAAUAUUAUGGGCCAAAUAUGCUUCCCACAAACAUAGCCAUAGCACUUGGCACAGAGCCACCAUGAUGUACCUCUGAACAUCCUCUGAAACUGCAGAAACUAUAGGACUUAAAGCUGACUUCAUAAAGAAAAAAGAGUGGAUUCCAAAGUUAUCAAAAACUGGAACCUGUGUCUGAGACAAGAAUAUGUACAAGAAACAGCUCUACUUGAACAAGCAGUACUAAGAUUGAGCAUUUUGUUCCCAGCAUUGUAGGCAAGUCUAAGAACACACUUGACAAAGAGGACCUGUCGCAGUAGUUGGAUGCAAGACACACAGCCACAGAUACUAACAGAAAUGACACUUGUCUUCCAAGAGCAUCAGCUAAGAAUUCAGACCUUGAAAUAUUUAUGCAUUGGCUGGAUGUAGGGGCAGACACUUAAGUCACAAGUUUCAGCUUCCCUUGCAAUUUUUCUAAUUCUAAGCAAAAACGCAUGAAAUGAUAACUUUUAUUUUCCAAAAAGAUUUUUUAUAAGACUUAAAAACUGGGCUCUUAAAGAGUUCUGCCAAUGCAAAGCUGCAAGUCCCAUGGCUCAUCGCUGGGGGAACGAUGUUAACAAAAACUAACUUUGAAGUUGCUCACCUCAGUAGUUAGAAACGAUAAUAAAGAUUUGUCUCAAAGACAGCUGAAGCAUAGUUCCCUAGGUUAAAAAGAGGCAAUGAAGCCUGGCACCAGAGAUGCACUGUGUGUAUCCUGUAGCACCAGAGAGAGGCAUUCAACAUAGCACUAUCAGGACAACUGCUGUUUAGAAAACAUCGUAGAUUUGUAAAAACUUGCAACUUACAUGUCCUCAACAGUAAUGUCCUUCAAUAUUUGGCAGUAAUCCACAUUCCAAACAGCCUGAUCAUCCCAGACUUUAGAAGCCAGCAGAAUAGCUCCUAAGACUAUCCUCUUCCAGUUACUAGGGCAGAUGUCAAUCUCUGCAUAGGUUAAAAGCCUUUCCAAGUAAACCUGUUAAAAAAAAAAACAGUUUUACAUGUGGAAUCAAGAGUUGAAGCUGAUUUCUGAACAAACACUCCAGUCAAAUAUAACCAUGUUAUCCCAUUAUCAUUAACUGUCUAAAAGAAAUUAUUGGUGAUAACUACAUAGGUUGUUUUGAAAAUAAUGCCUCUUACUUAUUUCCAAGGAAACUACAAAAGAUGCAAAGGGCACCACAACGCUGUUUGAUAGAGCAAAUUCUCAGCUACAAGAUACUAUUUUUCAAUACAGUCAGCACCAUGAGCUAUGUGUCUUCUCCAGCAAUUAACAGGAGGCUGUGUGCUGUGCUUGUGAAAAUCUGCACCAGCAGAUGUGACCCAGUGUUGCUACUGCUGAAACGCACCACCCACUGCCUCACUGUGCUCACAUCCACUGUCUGGUCUCCAUAAAUGCUCAGUGAGCACUGAGGAUCGCCAGUGGGUGGUGGUUUUUCCGCAUGGAGCAAUUCAGUAACACAUCUUUGCUCCAUUCACACUUCCCUGUCAGAUGCCAUUUGGUCAGACUGCCCCUCUGUGGCUGUAUGUCACACACAGCAUGCAGUGGAAUAUUGGUGGGAAGCUUCAGCCUCUAAUGCCAUACCUCUAAGAUUUGCCUCUGAUGUCAUGGGCCAACAGAAUAAAACAGCAGGCACUGCUUUUGGAGCAGUCAUUGUAUUUACACUUCAGAAUCACAACUUUCAAGAGCAACAGGUUCCUAGUUUUGUUGUUCCGUUACCUAAACCAGGUCAAAGGUCCCAGUGAAACCUCAGAUAACCUGGUGGGUACAGGAAGCUGUUGUGCCCAUAGGUCUAUGGGCAGCAUCAACCCCUACUUACCAGGGCUUCCCUAUGCUUUCUUCCCAUCUUUUGCUUACAGUCUUCGAGAGGAUUGAAAGCAUUCCCGUAAUAACAGAGCCAUCUAGUGGUAAAGACCACUUUAAAAAACAACUCCAUUUUUAAAAUACUUUACAUGUCAAGAUUGCCUGGUACCAUCAUCCCAUUCUGUCAAAUUGCUCGCAUGUCUUUGGAAAAGCAGAAGGUGAGCCUGCUUAAUUGCCACACUGUCUUUUGGUGAUAGUUCUUUUCUGUUCUUUUCAGACUGUUCUGCAGACAAGCCACAAUGAAGACUGAAGUCUAGUAUGCAACAAAGCACAGUUUAAGAGACCUUCUAAUGCAGUGAUUGUAUCGGCUGUGUUUUUUCCCUUUCCCUUCAGGUAUUUAUGUGUAUGUGUGUGUGUGUAUACGUGCAGGCAUAUAAACACAUGUGUCUGCAUAAAGAUCAGUACUUUUUAUACCCAUCUCGCUUUUGGAAAGCAAACAACACACUGUGGUGAGAUGAUUUUCUCUUACUACUAUUCUCAAUUUCCACGCACCUCCAGUCACAUGGGGAAAAUGGUCCAAAAAGAAAAAAAAAAAAAAAGAAAAAGAAAAAGGGAGCAGACAGAAAGGUGUCUGUGACUGAAGGACAUAAUAGUAAGAAAAGUUGAUCUCCUGGAAUUCCUGCGCUAUUGACUCUCAGCUCUUAGGGCAUGCUGUUUGCACUGUUCCAGUUAAUACAAAUUCUAACGUGCACCCUGUACCACAGAAAUAAAACAUGACUUUGUGUGUGAUCUUAAUACACCCCACUGUUCAUGGUAUCUCAUGUUCUGCCAAUCUCGAGCUUCUUCAGUGAGUUAUAUAUUUUAUGAAUUUAAUAAAUAUCUGAUUGGACAAGUAAUUAAGUAUUACACAUUCAAAUACAGGAAAGCUAAGAUCCUUUUAAGUUAUCCACUUCUGUAACUACUUGGAAAUAUUUUCUAAUGAACUUGUCGUAUGGCGUCUUCA